rnacentral:rRNA from 1 species
AGUGAACGCUGGCGGUAGGCCUAACACAUGCAAGUCGAACGGCAGCACAGUAAGAGCUUGCUCUUACGGGUGGCGAGUGGCGGACGGGUGAGGAAUACAUCGGAAUCUACUUUUUCGUGGGGGAUAACGUAGGGAAACUUACGCUAAUACCGCAUACGACCUACGGGUGAGAGCAGGGGAUCUUCGGACCUUGCGCGAUUGAAUGAGCCGAUGUCGGAUUAGCUAGUUGGCGGGGUAAUGACCCACCAAGGCGGCGAUCCGUGGCUGGUCUGAGAGGAUGGUCAGCGGCAUUGGAGCUGAGACACGGACCAGAGUCCUACGGGAGGGCGCAGUGUGGAAUAUUGGACAACGGGCGCAAAUCUUAUCCAGCCAGACCGCGUGUGUGACGAAGACCUUCGGGUUGUGAAGCCCGCUUGUUGGGAAAGAACCCCUGCCGGCUAAUACCUGGCUGGGAUGACGGUACCCAAAGAAGAAGCACCGGCUAACUACGUG